rnacentral:rRNA from 1 species
UACGGGGGGGGCAAGCGUUGUUCGGAAUUACUGGGCGUAAAGGGCUCGUAGGCGGCCAACUAAGUCAGACGUGAAAUCCCUCGGCUUAACCGGGGAACUGCGUCUGAUACUGGAUGGCUUGAGUUCGGGAGAGGGAUGCGGAAUUCCAGGUGUAGAGGUGAAAUUCGUAGAUAUUCGGAAGAACACCAGUGGCGAAGGCGACUCACUGGACACGUAUUGACGCUGAGGUGCGAAAGCGUGGGGAGCAAACAGG